GCGUUGUCCGGAAUCACUGGGCGUAAAGGGCGCGUAGGCGGCCCGAUAAGUAGGGGGUGAAAUCCUGCGGCUUAACCGCAGGGCUGCCUUCUAAACUGUCGGGCUAGAGCACGGUAGAGGCAGAUGGAAUUCCCGGUGUAGCGGUGGAAUGCGUAGAGAUCGGGAAGAACAUCAGUGGCGAAGGCGGUCUGCUGGGCCGUUGCUGACGCUGAGGCGCGACAGCGUG
rnacentral:rRNA from 1 species